AGUGAACGCUAGCGGUAGGCCUAACACAUGCAAGUCGAACGGCAGCACAGUAAGAGCUUGCUCUUACGGGUGGCGAGUGGCGGACGGGUGAGGAAUACAUCGGAAUCUACUUUUUCGUGGGGGAUAACGUAGGGAAACUUACUCUAAUACCGCAUACGCCCUACGGGUGAAAGCAGGGGAUCUUCGGACCUUUCGCGAUUGAAUGAGCCGAUGUCGGAUUAGCUAGUUGGCGGGGUAAAGGCCCAGCAAGGCGACGAUCCGUAGCUGGUCUGAGAGGAUGAUCAGCCACACUGGAACUGAGACACGGUCCAGACGCCUACGGGAGGCAGAAGUGGGGAAUAUUGGACAAUGGGCGCAAGCCUGAUCCAGCCAUACCGCGUGGGUGAAGAAGGCCUUCGGGUUGUAAAGCCCUUUUGUUGGGAAAGAAAAGCAGCAGGUUAAUACCCCGCUGUUCUGACGGUACCAAAAGAAUAAGCACCGGCUAACUUCGUG
rnacentral:rRNA from 1 species